rnacentral:lncRNA from 1 species
GGGAAAAUCAUUGAUGGACUUCUAGUGAUGAGGAAGAUUGAGAAUGUUCCCACAGGCCCCAACAAUAAGCCCAAACUGCCAGUGGUGAUCUCACAGUGUGGGGAAAUGUAAUCUAGACAAGACUGAACCAGGUCCUCUGCUGUUUUGGGGUGACAUUCUCCCUUGAGUCUGACAGGCUGGACUGGCCUCUUUGCUUCCCUGUCUCCACAGUGUGUGAUCCAGGACCUGGAAGUAUCAUAAAUCAGAACCAAUAAUCCUGUUUAAAUUUCGAACUGUAAAUAAAGGGUUUUUUUAAUGCAUGGA